CUGAAAGUACUGAAGCUGGAGCCAUGGAUGACCCCAGGGAGGAUAUGCAGAAGGACUGAGAGAUCCACCGCUGCCAUCCCCAGAUGGACAGGCAUAACUGAGAUGAGCACAUACAGGAAAGGUCUGCAUGGUUUUAAAGAGGGAAGACAGAGAUGCUUGUUGAUAGCACAAGGGCAAAGCUGCAAGCACUAGAAAAGGGCAUGCAAGGGGAAAUUAAGGAUGAGCUCAGAAGAAGAAACUCUGCAGGAAGCACAGAAUGACUCAAGAUUUCUUUGCUCCAUGGAAAAGUAGGAAGACAGAAAAGAUGCAGCAUCAGGGUGAAUCCUGAACCUGCAGCCAUCCGAUUGACCGCCAUCAGUCAUUUGCAGGCUCUCAGCACUUUGGCCCCACAUAUGUACUCUCCUCCUGCUGUUCAGAAAGCCCUGCCCAGCUGCACACCUCGUUAUGCCCUGUGGCUGGGCUAUUUUAGGAAAACUUCCUCUAAAGAAAUAACAAAAUCAACAGGCUCUAACUAUUCUACCCAUGGGGCUGAGAAAGUAAAGGCUAAGUGCUAGAAAGGUAUAGCAAAGCACUCAGAAGACAACUGGCUUGUCCUUUCUCUAAAUAUCACCAUUCUCCUAGAUCCAGGCAGGGCACUUUAGGUUUUGCGUGGUGUCAUUUGUGCGCAGUGCCUCAGCCAUUUUACAGAGAAAGCCAAUUGCAGCCUGAAGAGGGAAGAAAGGUUUUCCGUCAUGAUUUGAAGAAAGAAAUAACAG
ensembl:lncRNA